ACAUGUGUGGUAUAGUGGUUUGAGUGUGAGACUAUGACUCUGGAGACCAGGGUUCAAAUCCCUGCGGAGCCA